UCCGUGAUGUCACUGAUGACCGUAUCAACGCCGUGACGUCCGUCUGACGUCCCUGACGUCCUCAACGUCCGUCUGAUGUCCCUGGCUUGCCGUCAAUUCCCAAGUUUUUCGUCAAUCCUAGAACGUAUCUAGGUGGCUUCCAAGUGUCAGGCGAAACGUCAUAGUGUCCGCUUAAGCGAAUAAAUAUGUUUUUACCUAAUGCUUGUCAAAAUUCUUAUUAAUUUUGCAUCAUUCGUUGAUGUUCGUGUAAUUUCCAGGGUAUCUUAUUCCAUCAACUUACUAAUCCUAAAUAUUAACGUGAUUACUUGAUAAAAAGCAUGUACCGUGUGGCGUAUGCGAUAUUAUCGAAAAAUCGGCGGAACCAUCAGCAUUUCCAUAAAGCUCGUCUCUAUGUACCCUAGCAAAUUUUGCAAAAAUUGUAGUUCGUAUUACGUUGGUUUACAGUGGAUAAACGUAAUUCCACACAAAUGGUGUCGAAUCCAUCCAGUGACGUGGAGUAAUUAUUUUUCUUAUGUUACUCUCUCUUAGGUAAUUAAUAGGUAUUUGAUAUCUCCUAGCAAGCACGCAUAAUUUCCUGUUUAUCUGUAAUGCCCAGCUUAUUUUUCUUAAUAUUACGUAGAAUCGACAAAUGACAACAUAUUUGCAUAAUCCUAGGGGCACCGCCAUAUGCCUGUGAACGUGUGUACGUAAAAAUGAGAGCGUAGAGUACAUCUAUCGGCCGGUUUCUGAAACAGGUAGUGGGACUCCGUAAUUUCCGAGUAAUCAGUGUAAUAUUUGUCUGACUUUAUUGUAUACUAUUUGCCGAUUUUAUUGUAUAAUAUUUGUUUUAUUUUAAUAUAUAAUAUUUGUCUAAUUUUUUGCAUGAUAUUUGUCUGAUUUUAUUAUAUAAUAUUAAACACAGGAGAAGCUAUAAGUAGACAUCAGAAUAGGAAUGUUUGUGAUUGAUCAUUUAUACGACACCUUCGAAUAAUCGCUUAAAGAGAAAAAGGUUACGUCAAGCCUGUGUGUGUAAAAGUUGUGUGAGACUUAUGUGAAAGAUACGUACAACUUGUGAGAAAAUUCUGUAGAAGUUGUGUAAAAAGUUUAGUCCGAAGGUUGUGUCCGAGGUUGUGUCUGAAGGUUGUGUCCGAGGUUGUGUCCGAGGUUGUGUCUGAAGGUUGUGUCCGAGGUUGUGUCCGAGGUUGUGUCUGAAGGUUGUGUCCGAGGUUGUGUCUGAAGGUUGUGUCCGAGGUUGUGUCUGAAGGUUGUGUCCGAGGUUGUGUCCGAGGUUGUGUCUGAAGGUUGUGUCCGAGGUUGUGUCCGAGGUUGUGUCUGAAGGUUGUGUCCGAGGUUGUGUCCGAGGUUGUGUCUGAAGGUUGUGUCCGAGGUUGUGUCUGAAGGUUGUGUCCGAGGUUGUGUCUGAAGGUUGUGUCCGAGGUUGUGUCCGAGGUUGUGUCUGAAGGUUGUGUCCGAGGUUGUGUCCGAGGUUGUGUCUGAAGGUUGUGUCUGAAGGU